rnacentral:rRNA from 1 species
UACGAAGGGGGCUAGCGUUGUUCGGAAUCACUGGGCGUAAAGCGCACGUAGGCGGAUCUUUAAGUCAGGGGUGAAAUCCCGAGGCUCAACCUCGGAACUGCCUUUGAUACUGGGGAUCUCGAGUCCGGGAGAGGUGAGUGGAACUGCGAGUGUAGAGGUGAAAUUCGUAGAUAUUCGCAAGAACACCAGUGGCGAAGGCGGCUCACUGGCCCGGAACUGACGCUGAGGCACGAAGGUCAGGGGAGCAAACGGG